UNCUGUUGCCACAAUCCCAGUUACUGUUGCC
rnacentral:piRNA from 1 species